rnacentral:rRNA from 1 species
UGGGGAGUACGGCCGCAAGGUUAAAACUCAAAUGAAUUGACGGGGGCCCGCACAAGCGGUGGAGCAUGUGGUUUAAUUCGAUGCAACGCGAAGAACCUUACCUGGUCUUGACAUCCACAGAACUUUCCAGAGAUGGAUUGGUGCCUUCGGGAACUGUGAGACAGGUGCUGCAUGGCUGUCGUCAGCUCGUGUUGUGAAAUGUUGGGUUAAGUCCCGCAACGAGCGCAACCCUUAUCCUUUGUUGCCAGCGGUCCGGCCGGGAACUCAAAGGAGACUGCCAGUGAUAAACUGGAGGAAGGUGGGGAUGACGUCAAGUCAUCAUGGCCCUUACGACCAGGGCUACACACGUGCUACAAUGGCGCAUACAAAGAGAAGCGACCUCGCGAGAGCAAGCGGACCUCAUAAAGUGCGUCGUAGUCCGGAUUGGAGUCUGCAACUCGACUCCAUGAAGUCGGAAUCGCUAGUAAUCGUGGAUCAGAAUGCCACGGUGAAUACGUUCCCGGGCCUUGUACACACCGCCCGUCACACCAUGGGAGUGGGUUGCAAAAGAAGUAGGUAGCUUAACCUUCGGGAGGGCGCUUACCACUUUGUGAUUCAUGACUGGGGUGAAGUCGUAACAAGGUAACCGUAGGGGAACCUGCGGUUGGAUCAC